GACGAACGCUGGCGGCGUGCUUAACACAUGCAAGUCGAACGGAAAGGCCCUGCUUGCAGGGUACUCGAGUGGCGAACGGGUGAGUAACACGUGGGUGAUCUGCCCUGCACUUCGGGAUAAGCCUGGGAAACUGGGUCUAAUACCGGAUAGGAGCCAUUUUUAGUGUGAUGGUUGGAAAGUUUUUUUCGGUGUAGGAUGAGCUCGCGGCCUAUCAGCUUGUUGGUGGGGUAAUGGCCUACCAAGGCGGCGACGGGUAGCCGGCCUGAGAGGGUGGACGGCCACAUUGGGACUGAGAUACGGCCCAGACUCCUACGGGAGGCAGCAGGGGGGAAUAUUGAACAAUGGGCGCAAGCCUGAUGCAGCGACGCCGCGGGGGGGAGGACGGUCUUCGGGUUGUAAACUCCUUUCGCUAGGGACGAAGCUUUUUGUGACGGUACCUAGAUAAGAAGCACCGGCUAACUACGUG
rnacentral:rRNA from 1 species